CGUGCCCAUAACUGUCUAAAUAUAGGGUAAAAAACCCACGAUGUUAGAAUAUGGGAUUAGAAUGUUUCAUAGUUAUAUGAAUACCUAUGGG